rnacentral:rRNA from 1 species
AACGAACGCUGGCGGCAUGCCUAACACAUGCAAGUCGAACGAGACCUUCGGGUCUAGUUGCGCACGGGUGCGUAACGCGUGGGAACCUGCCCUUAGGUUCGGAAUACCUCCCCGAAAGGGGUGCUAAUACCGGAUAAUGUCUUCGGACCAAAGAUUUAUCGCCUUUGGAUGGGCCCGCGUUGGAUUAGCUAGUUGGUAGGGUAAAAGCCUACCAAGGCGACGAUCCAUAGCUGGUCUGAGAGGAUGAUCAGCCACACUGGGACUGAGACACGGCCCAGACUCCUACGGGAGGCAGCAGUGGGGAAUAUUGGACAAGGGGCGAAAGCCUGAUCAAGCAAUGCCGCGUGAGUGAUGAAGGCGGUAGGGUUGUAAAGCUCUUUUACACGGGAUGAUAAUGACAGUACCGGGAGAAUAAGCUCCGGCUAACUCCGUG